rnacentral:rRNA from 1 species
UACAGGGGGUGCAAACGUUGCUCGGACUCAUUGGGCGUAAAGCGCACGUAGGCGGUUCGUUAUGUCGGAUGUGAAAGCCCUUGGCUUAACCGAGGAAGUGCAUCCGAAACUGGCGAGCUAGAGUACGAAAGAGGAUCGCGGAAUUCCCGGUGUAGAGGUGAAAUUCGUAGAUAUCGGGAGGAACACCGGUGGCGAAGGCGGGUCUCUGGGCCGAUACUGACGCUGAGGAGCGAAAGCGUGGGGAGCGAACAGG